UCGGGAAUUUUGGGCAAUGGGCGAAAGCCUGACCCAGCAACGCCGCGUGAGGGAUGAAGUAUUUCGGUAUGUAAACCUCGAAAGAAUGGGAAGAAUAAAUGACGGUACCAUUUAUAAGCUCCGGCUAACUACGUGCCAGCAGCCGCGGUAAUACGCAGGGAGCAAGCGUUGUCCGGAUUUAUUGGGUUUAAAGGGUGCGCAGGCGGGAUGUUAAGUCGGCGGUGAAAUUUUGCAGCUCAACUGUAAAAGUGCCUUCGAUACUGGCCUCCUUGAGUGUGGAUGAAGUAGGCGGAAUUUGUGGUGUAGCGGUGAAAUGCUUAGAUAUUAGGAGGAACACCAGUGGCGAAGGCGGCUUUCUGGACUGUAACUGACACUGAGGCACGAAAGCGUGGGGAGCAAACA
rnacentral:rRNA from 1 species